AAUAGCUAAAAUGGGGAGGUGCUGGAGAGGAUAAAUUGCAGCAGCUCCCUGCUGAGAUUACAGAGCUCCUCAGGAGAGGCACAGCAGCACUGCAUUAAAGAAGUGCCCACGUACAGCUGCAAUGCUCAGCACGAAGCCUCUCCUGCUGCUCCUGCUGCUCCUCAGCAUCUCUCAGCACAGCUCCACAGCUCCAUAUGCACCUUCAGAAUGCUGUUUCACACUCGCAAAAGCUGCGCUCCGGCUCGAAGUGCUGAAGAAUUUCUAUGAGACUUCCAGUGACUGUCUUCUGAAAGCAAUUGUGUUUGAGACAAAGAGCGGGGUGAAGGUCUGUGCAAAACCAAACGCACCUUGGGUGAGGAAAGCAAUUAAGAAUCUUCAGAAAAAGAAGGAGCCUCAAGCUGUGUGAUGCAGAGCGGACACCCAAGCCGAGGAUCACAGCUUCCUGAUGGGAAGAUUUACACUCAGCCUCCUGCGGAGGUCCCUGAUGCUGACAGAUGGCAGUGACUCCCCAGAGCCCUGCAGGGCAGUACAUCCCGAGGUGCUGCAGCCCUGCCAGCUCCCACCUGCAGAACACAGCUCCGAAAUAAAGGUUUAUUUCACACACU
rnacentral:lncRNA from 1 species